rnacentral:rRNA from 1 species
CUGGGGACGUCUAAAGGAACUGCCUACGCAAGUAGUGAGGAAGCGGGGAUGACGUCAAAUCAGCACGGCCCUUACGUCCAGGGCUACACACGUGCUACAAUGGCCGAUACAGAGGGCAGCUACCUGGUGACAGGAUGCAAAUCUCCAAAGUCGGUCUCAGCUCGGAUCGGAGUCUGCAACCCGACUCCGUGAAGUUGGAUUCGCUAGUAAUCGCGCAUCAGCCAUGGCGCGGUGAAUACGUUCCCGGGCCUU